rnacentral:rRNA from 1 species
UACGUAGGGCGCAAGCGUUGUCCGGAAUUAUUGGGCGUAAAGAGCUCGUAGGCGGUCAGAUAGGUCCGUUGUGAAAACUCGAGGCUCAACCUCGAGACGCCGAUGGAAACCAUCUGACUAGAGUCCGGAAGAGGAGAGUGGAAUUCCUGGUGUAGCGGUGAAAUGCGCAGAUAUCAGGAAGAACACCCGUGGCUAAGGCGGCUCUCUAGUACGGUACUGACGCUGAGACGCGAAAGCGUGGGGAGCGAACAGG